rnacentral:rRNA from 1 species
UCAGUAGCGGCGAGUGAAGAGGGACGAGCUCAAGCUGAUAAUCUCCGGCGGCGACGUCGGCGAAUUGUAGUUUAGAGAAGUGUCUUCAACGCGUGGCCGGCCGGUCCAAGUUGCUUGGAACGGCACGUCGCGGAGGGUGACAAUCCCGUAGAAGGCCGGCGGGCCUGCGCCACGAAGCACUUUCGUCGAGUCGGGUUGUUUGGGAAUGCAGCCCAAAGUGGGUGGUAAACUCCAUCUAAAGCUAAAUACGAGCACGAGACCGAUAGCGAACAAGUACCGUGAGGGAAAGGUGAAAAGCACUUUGAAAAGAGAGUUAAAGAGUACGUGAAACCGUUGAAGGGGAAACGAAUGCGACUAGCAAAGCACUCGUUGCAGAUUCAGCCACAUCGACGAGCGUCAGUCGGCGUGCGGAUUCGAAUGGACCGUCGCCGAUUCGAGGGCGUGUCGGUGUGUCGCAAUUCUGCCCUGUGCGAGCCAACGUCGAUCGGUCGUCGACGUUCGGUCGUUUCGUCAGGUGGUCCGCGGCUUCGGUCGCGGUCGUUAUAGACGUGGCGACAAGGACGUCGCGGCGGAUCGAGGAGACGAGUUGUCUCGGUGGCGGCCUGCGCGCUUCGGUGCUAGAGGCGGUCGGCACGCGUUUGGCGUCGUGACUCGGACUGCAUGCAGUGCGUGAGACGGUCGUCGAAGCGUGUCGGUCAGUCUUUCAUAAGUAGGCCUAGGUCGUUGGCGGUGAAAUGGUCUCAUCCGACCCGUCUUGAAACACGGACCAAGGAGUCUAACAUGUGUGCGAGUCGUGGGGUGGCAAACCCUGUGGCGCAAUGAAAGUGAGUGUGGAGAC